rnacentral:rRNA from 1 species
AUUGAACGCUGGCGGCAGGCCUAACACAUGCAAGUCGAGCGGGGUUUUCGGACCUAGCGGCGGACGGGUGAGUAAUGCGUAGGAAGCUACCCGAUAGAGGGGGAUACCAGUUGGAAACGACUGUUAAUACCGCAUAAUGUCUACGGACCAAAGUGUGGGACCUUCGGGCCACAUGCUAUCGGAUGCGCCUACGUGGGAUUAGCUAGUUGGGGGGGUAAUGGUUCACCAAGGCGACGAUCCCUAGCUGGUUUGAGAGGAUGAUCAGCCACACUGGAACUGAGCAACGGUCCAGACUCCUACGGGAGGCAGCAGUGGGGAAUAUUGAACAAUGGGCGCAAGCCUGAUCCAGCCAUGCCGCGUGUGUGAAGAAGGCCUUCGGGUUGUAAAGCACUUUCAGUAGGGAGGAAGGGUGUUGUGUUAAUAGCACAGCAUUUUGACGUUACCUACAGAAGAAGCACCGGCUAACUCUGUGCCAGCAGCCGCCGUAACAC